GUCCUCGUAGCUUAAUCACCAAAGCAUGGCGCUGAAGACGUCAAGAUGGCUGCCUCCGCCCGAAGACA
rnacentral:tRNA from 1 species